rnacentral:rRNA from 1 species
UACGUUGGGUGCAAGCGUUGUCCGGAAUUAUUGGGCGUAAAGAGCUCGUAGGCGGUCAGUCGCGUCUGCUGUGAAAACUCGGGGCUUAACUCCGGGCCUGCAGUGGGUACGGGCUGACUAGAGUGCGGUAGGGGAGACUGGAAUUCCUGGUGUAGCGGUGAAAUGCGCAGAUAUCAGGAGGAACACCGGUGGCGAAGGCGGGUCUCUGGGCCGUAACUGACGCUGAGGAGCGAAAGCGUGGGGAGCGAACAGG